rnacentral:rRNA from 1 species
GCUCAGGAUGAACGCUAGCUACAGGCUUAACACAUGCAAGUCGAGGGGUAGCAGGGUAGCAAUACCGCUGACGACCGGCGCACGGGUGAGUAACACGUAUCCAACCUUCCCAUCACUCGGGGAUAGCCUUUCGAAAGAAAGAUUAAUACCCGAUAGUACUUUUUUGAGGCAUCUUAAGAAAGUUAAAGAUUUAUUGGUGAUGGAUGGGGAUGCGUUCCAUUAGAUUGUUGGUGAGGUAACGGCUCACCAAGUCUUCGAUGGAUAGGGGUUCUGAGAGGAAGGUCCCCCACAUUGGAACUGAGACACGGUCCAAACUCCUACGGGAGGCAGCAGUGAGGAAUAUUGGUCAAUGGACGCAAGUCUGAACCAGCCAA